rnacentral:rRNA from 1 species
UACGUAGGGUGCAGGCGUUAAUCGGAAUUACUGGGCGUAAAGCGUGCGCAGGCGGUUUGCUAAGACAGGUGUGAAAUCCCCGGGCUUAACCUGGGAACUGCGCUUGUUACUGGCAGGCUUGAGUGUGGCAGAGGGGGGUGGAAUUCCACGUGUAGCAGUGAAAUGCGUAGAGAUGUGGAGGAACACCGAUGGCGAAGGCAGCCCCCUGGGCUAACACUGACGCUCGUGCACGAAAGCGUGGGGAGCAAACAGG